GGUGCCUGUAGGGCCUUCAGUAAGCAGGAAGGCACCCUGAAUAACCAGGGAACAGAUUGGGAGACCCAGAAGGGAAGUAAAAAGUUUGGAUAGCUGACCCGGGAAGGAAUGGGCUAAGGACUGUGCCCUGGCUGGAGGGAUGAGUUAUAUGAAAGAAACCACCACAGCCCCAGAGUGACUGGUGACAAGGGCUGCUACCCCACAAGGACACUGUGAUGCCAUGCCUGGCCAUGAGGAAGUGCAUAGUGGACAUAAGAACAUUAGGGGCCCACUUCUGCAAACCUGACUGAAGUUGAGUAUAGUCUUUACUCACGAAUUUUCCUGUGAAGAUGAAGAGGAGUUACUUACGAGAGUAAGGACUAUUCAACAUCAGUAAGGCUGGCGGAAUCCUGCCAGAAUACAUCUCCAAAUGUAUAAAGUCAUAUAAUUUCUCAUCUUCUGAACUGACACGCUGACAAUUUCCAAAAUGCAAAUAUUAAAUGUCUGUAUUGGGGAUCAUGUUUUACAAGAUUUUAUGCAGCAGAUGCUGCACAGAAAAGCAUCUAACCAAGAUCAUCCUGAAGCGUCCCUGGAAUGUGAGGUUGGCUACCAGAGACAGGAAACCAUUCUACAUUUCAUGGAACAUACACAAUUAUGCAGCCAGUUCAAACAGGUGCAGAUGCAUAUGCCUCAUCCAGAAGAUGCAGACACCGGGGGAGCAGAAUUGGCCUAUAUAUAUUUUUAGCUUUGCUUGUUUCAGUUCCCAACACAUACCGGACAUGUUUUUUGUCCAAAAUAUCUGCUUUUCCUAUGAAUUCUCAUGAGCAGAUUUAGCAGAUUAAAAUGCAUAGAAAAAAAGAAACAUUCCCCUCCACUGGCCGUGCAAGGAGCACCUAAACCAUAGGGGGAAAACACAAAUGCAGUUUAUGCAUUGUUUCCAACUAUACCUUUUUACGCCUCAAAGGAAAUGCAUCUUUCCUUUUCUAUCUUAGCUGUGAAGAGCAAGCCUCCUUCUGGAUCACGAGACAAUUAUUUUAUCUGAAAGUUCCUUGGGGGGCAGAGACACUUUGUUCUGUUUUUACUAUUGUGCCUAGCACAAUGGGUCCUGGUCCAUGACUAGAGCUCCUAGGCAACUGUGGUAAUAAAAAUAAUCAAUAGUUCCCUUCUGUUGAUGAGACAAUUACUGAUUAUCCAAAGUCAGAGAGAAGGAAAGAAGAGAACUAAAAUAUAGGUUAAUGCAGGAACAACAACAGCUGCUUUAUGGCCUUGUAGUAGCGAGACCAUAGUUAACAUUGUAUCAGAAUUGUUUUCCAGGGUCUGUACCUCCAGUGUGAUGAUUUUUUUUACCCCUUUUGGUAAAUGUUCCAUGGGAAUUUUAAUCACAUUUCUGCCACUAAUCAAUGUGUGGGGAAUGGUCUCCAGUAUAUAUUUUGUUUGCAUAUUUGUUUGUUUUUUAGGAAACUUGUGAAAACCAGAUUCCUGCCCCCAGCACACAAGCACUGUCUGAGCAGUAACCUUGUGGCAUUGGAGAUAAUCAGCCACUCUCUCACUCCAGUUUAUCUGCAUGCUUGGGGAGAGUCCAUACUGCUCAGGUUGUCAUGACCACAGCUGCCUUUGAUAACUGAUUUACUACAGUUAUCAAACAUUAUGACAAAGAAGGGUCAGGAGAGGAACUGUAAUGAAAGAAGACUGGGGUUUGGAUAAAAUCCUGCUGUACUCCUUUAGUGUUUGUAUUGGGGUACGUUACACUGUUUAUUUUCAAAUGGUAGUUAUUACUUUCCUGAAAGGAUCACAUGAAAAUAAAAUAGAAAACUCCAGCUCCUUUUUACAUAUAUUGUUUAUGUGCUACUUACAAAUUAGGAGCUAUGACUUUCUGAAUGAUUACCUUUGUUAAAAAAAAGCAGGAAAUCAGAGCUGAGUCCUGACUCAGUUUUGUGUUGUUCAUUUAAAAGUUUGUAGCAAAACUGAAGUUGCCUCUUGUAAAAUUGUUUUGUGUGAAUACAGUUUCAGUAUAUGGGUCAACAUGGUGCAACUUGGUGCUCCAUAAAGAUAACAAGGACAAUAAAAUAUACACU